rnacentral:rRNA from 1 species
GUCGUGAGACAGUUCGGUCUCUAUCUAUCGUGGGCGUAGGAGUUUUGAGUGGUGCCGUCACUAGUACGAGAGGACCGUGAUGGACAGACCUCCGGUUUGCCAGUUGUGCCGCCAGGCGCACCGCUGGGUAUCCGAGUCUGGUUAGGAUAAGCGCUGAAAGCAUCUAAGUGCGAAGCCAGCCGCAAGAUGAGAACUCCAUUGAGGGUCGUCAGAGACGAUGACGUUGAUAGGAUGCAGGUGUAAAGACAGCGAUGUCAAAGCCGAGCAUUACUAAUUGCCCGAACACUUUCUUUAU